UACGAAGGGGGCUAGCGUUGUUCGGAAUUACUGGGCGUAAAGCGCGCGUAGGCGGAUAUUUUAGUCAGGGGUGAAAUCCCGGGGCUCAACCCCGGAACUGCCUUUGAUACUGGAUAUCUUGAGUUCGAGAGAGGUAAGUGGAAUUGCGAGUGUAGAGGUGAAAUUCGUAGAUAUUCGCAGGAACACCAGAGGCGAAGGCGGCUUACUGGCUCGAUACUGACGCUGAGGUGCGAAAGCGUGGGGAGCAAACAGG
rnacentral:rRNA from 1 species